UUCAUUUUACUGACUUUCCAACCCAGGACUCAGUUAUUGAAAUCCCUCGCGAUUGCUGUCUCUAGCAUGCAAUUCACAUUGCAGAGUUCAAAGUUGAAUAAAACCGCAAGGAUCAAUAACAA